rnacentral:rRNA from 1 species
UACGAAGGGGGCGAGCGUUGUUCGGAUUUACUGGGCUUAAAGGGCGCGCAGGCGGCUCAUUUUGUCAGGCGUGAAAGCCCCGGGCUUAACCUGGGAACUGCGUUUGAUACGGGUGGGCUAGAGUUCGGGAGAGGAGCGUGGAAUUCCCAGUGUAGAGGUGAAAUUCGUAGAUAUCGGAAGGAACGCCGGUGGCGAAAGCGACAUACUGGCUCAUUACUGACGCUGAGGCGCGAAAGCGUGGGGAGCAAACAGG